AUUGAACGCUGGCGGCAGGCCUAACACAUGCAAGUCGAACGGUAACAGGAAACAGCUUGCUGUCUCGCUGACGAGUGGCGGACGGGUGAGUAAUGUCUGGGAAACUGCCUGAUGGAGGGGGAUAACUACUGGAAACGGUAGCUAAUACCGCAUAACGUCGCAAGACCAAAGAGGGGGACCUUCGGGCCUCUUGCCAUCGGAUGUGCCCAGAUGGGAUUAGUUAGUAGGUGGGGUAACGGCUCACCUAGGCGACGAUCCCUAGCUGGUCUGAGAGGAUGACCAGCCACACUGGAACUGAGACACGGUCCAGACUCCUACGGGAGGCAGCAGUGGGGAAUAUUGCACAAUGGGCGCAAGCCUGAUGCAGCCAUGCCGCGUGUAUGAAGAAGGCCUUCGGGUUGUAAAGUACUUUCAGCGGGGAGGAAGGGAGUAAAGUUAAUACCUUUACUCAUUGACGUUACCCGCAGAAGAAGCACCGGCUAACUCCGUG
rnacentral:rRNA from 1 species